UCCGCCCCUCAGGGUCACAGGCGCUGACGUCACGCCCCGGGCUCCAUUUACAUACAUCAAGGAAAUGAGGGCAUUAAAGCAAUAUAUGCUAAUCCGGCGCAGUCCUGCGCCCGGGCUCCCACCCAUUCUCUUACUGAAUUGGGCGCUACUUUCCUUUUAUUUCUUCUCUUUUUUUUAACAUGACCAAAAAAAAAAAUCCUUUAAAAAGGAAGGACGAGGCCGCCCGGUGCCGCCGCGGAGCUGCUGGAAGUGCGGGGAGAGGAGAGAGCGCUGCCAGAGGAUGAGGGCUGUAGGGCUGGACUCGCCUAUGCAUUAAUAAGGGCUCCUGCGCCAUUCCCUUCUCUGCUCCUGUUGGCUCCAGCCUCUAUUAGCUUUAAAUACUGAUGCAUAUGUAAAGGAUGUGGUGAGAGAGCGACACCUGCUGGCCAUGGGCAGAUGCGGUAACUGUUGCCUCAGAGAUGAGACUUUUUCUGCAGAUUGCAUUUCGAAUAUUUCUGGAUGAUUCGACGCAGUGGGGGCCUUGGGUUAUAUAAUCGAAAGUGUUUGCUCGAUCUCAGCUAUUCGAUAUUUUAUUAUUGCAUUCCCUGCCAACCCUCCCAAAUGAUUCCACUUGGUACCUUCUAUACAGCACCUGGUAUAGUUCCGAUACAGCACGGUAGGGCGAAGUCGAUUAAAUGUACUAUAUGUGUGCGCCUUGUCAUAUACAAUAUAGCUAUAUAAAUGUCUGUGUGUUCCCUAUAUAUAUAUAUAUAUAUGUAUAUACCCGGGCAUGCUAUAAUAAUCAGGCUGAUCACUCCACUCCUGUACCCUGCUGUCAAUUAGAGGGAGGUACAAACUGUACAAACAUCACACAAACCUGGGGCCCCAACUUGUCCAGCACUGACGGGUAAGGUUUGUUUGGCAGUAACCCUCUCAGUGCCAGGAGCUGUACAACCCACUGACUGGCACUCAUUGCCAACAAACAAAUUGCCAUUUGCCAAGUGGUAUGUCCCCUGGACUUGAAAUAAAAGUAUGGGGAACCUAUACAAGAAUUUGAGUGAGAUGUCCAAAAAUAAUUGUGUAUGGGAGUGUGUCUGAGUGUGCCUGUGUAUAUGUGGGUGUGUGUCUGACUGUGUCUGUGAGUCUAUGUAUA